rnacentral:rRNA from 1 species
ACGCUCGACACCUACGGGAGGAGCAGUAGGGAAUCUUCCACAAUGGACGCAAGUCUGAUGGAGCAACGCCGCGUGAGUGAAGAAGGUUUUCGGAUCGUAAAGCUCUGUUGUUGGUGAAGAAGGAUAGAGGUAGUAACUGGCCUUUAUUUGACGGUAAUCAACCAGAAAGUCACGGCUAACUACGUACCAGCAGCCGCGGUAAUCUGAGCGGGCUGGCAAGGC